GUCUUGUCUUGUCUUGAAGUGUCAAAAGAGGAGGGACUUAGAUCUGACAUGAUGUUGUUAUGUCUGACAGAGACUGUGGUAGAAAAGAUUCAUUCUGACUCUUCUCAGACUGAACACUUGUAUACAAUGGAUCUUCACUCAGUCGUUCUGCUGUAUGUCUCAGCUGUUGCUGUCUUUGGAAAUGUCAUCAAACCAAACAAAACCAAUGUUUUUGCUGAGGAGGGUUCAAGUGUUACAUUAUCCUGUAGUUUUACUGACUCUAGCACUACAGAUUAUCUCCACUGGUAUCGUCAGUAUGGAAGUUCAAAACCUGAAUUUAUUGUACUCACGUAUGACACUGUAAAAGAUGCUCGGCAGUCUGAUGUAGAUUCAAGGUUCUCUGUUAACAUUCCAAAAAGUGAACGUGUGGAUCUGGAGAUCUCCUCUGCUGCUGUAUCUGACUCUGCUCUGUAUUACUGUGCUCUGCAGCCCACAGUGACAGGAAACACAUCAGCUCUCUACAAAAACCUGUUACACCGAGAGACAAGAGAGAAACUGAGAUUCUAA